AUUUUACUAGUGCUUUUUAGUUGUUUUUUUUAUCUUAUAUUUCAUUUUAAUAAGGUUGUUACGUUUUGUGUUGGAACUGUGUUAGGUGGAAAAAUUUGAACAAAAAAGGAACUAGCCUGUUUUGGGUUGUAAUAUGAUGAUGACACUUGUUUUAGACAUCCAAGGUUAUUAUAUAGUGUUUGAUCUAGUAUGUAUGUUGAGUCAGUUGAUUCAUCAUCAUAAACUAGAACCAUUCUUGUUGGAAUAUUGAAUUCUAUUGUUAAAUUGGAUGUUUAUCUUUUGCUCAAUUGAUUAUAUUUCAAGCCUUUUUCCUUAUGGUUACAACCAAAUACUUAAACAAUUUUUGUUUUGGGUGGCUUUUGAUAUAUUUAUGCAGAAAUUGGUCCUGUUUAAAGAUGAAAAAUCACAAUGUUUUUUAACUUUGUAUGCCUUGUUUUAUUCUAGUUUUAAUAAUAUUCAUUAGUAUAAAUUAAAAUUCAUGUGGUAUAAUCUGCCUUCUUUUAACCUCAUUACCAAAUGUUAACUUUGAGUAUAUGUAGUUCAAGUAUGUGAUUUGUGUUCAAAAAUUACAAAAUGACAAAUUUAUAUUGGGUGAAGCAGAAGGGGUUGCGGUACUUAGUUUAUGUUUGGUAUCAUAGUAAGUAUGUUAGAAUCAUGGUGAUCCAAUGUGAUUCUGUAGAAGGCUAGAAGCUACAAAGUGUGACAUUUGGAAAAUCUACCGUGAUUUUGAUACCGUGAUACCAAACAUACCAUAGGGAAUUAGGUCUGUGAAUAUAUGUGUAGAGCAAUGAUAUUAGACGUCCUACAAAGAGCAAUGAUAUUAGAUAUACAAAUUCGAAACCGUAUAAAAUUACACCGAGAUUGUUGUUGGUCGUACAGUA
rnacentral:lncRNA from 1 species